rnacentral:rRNA from 1 species
AUGGCCGGCGGCGAUUCUUCUCCCGUGGCGGCUGCGGCUGCGGCGACGAAGUGGGAGUGGGACCAAGAAGAGUAUCGGUGCGAGCCGGCGGAGUAUUCCGUGGACCCGCGAUACAGCGAGUACGACCCCAAGCAGGGCUGUUUCAUAUGCGUCCGCUACUUCUUCGACGGCAAACUCGACCUGGACGAGGAGUCACCUGUUGGUCCCAUGCGACAUACUGGUAAAAUCUUCAAAGAGGGAUUCCGGCUCAAAAACUCAGUCAAUGUUGUCUCCAUCAAGAUUGUUUCCUCUGACUAUGGCUACCCACUGUAUGUCUACGGUACCAUCAUAGCCAGGGACAGUCUGGAUCGAAAAUGUGUCUAUAUAUUCCGGCGCGACCAGGAUGAUUGCCAGCUCAUCAGCUCAAAGGAUGAUUCAUUGAUUUUGACUGGACCCAAGAGAGGAUUCAUGGUAUGCGAUGAUAUAUUCUUUGAAAUCAAUCUGAAGGUGAAGGAUGUGCAUGGGAGGAGUGUCAAUGACGAUAGACUCAGUAAAGGACUGAUCGAGGUGGAUGCUAUCCGCAGGCUGGAAUUUAGUCCCGAAUAUGUGGUUGAGACGGAAACACUUGUCAGCAUGCACAGCAUAUUGGAUUUGAACUAUACAUUCAUUAGGAGGUCGGUGGAGGGCACUGUUGAUAUCAAGAUCCUUGGAGGGACCUGA